UACGGGGGGAGCAAGCGUUGUUCGGAUUUACUGGGCGUAAAGGGCGCGUAGGCGGUCGUGACAAGUCACUUGUGAAAUCUCCGGGCUUAACUCGGAACGGUCAAGUGAUACUGUCGGACUAGAGUACAGAAGGGGCAACUGGAAUUCUCGGUGUAGCGGUGAAAUGCGUAGAUAUCGAGAGGAACACCUGCGGCGAAGGCGGGUGCUAGGCCGCAACUGACACUGAGGGACGAAAGCUAGGGGAGCGAAUGGG
rnacentral:rRNA from 1 species